rnacentral:RNase_P_RNA from 1 species
CGAGCAGGUCCGACGGUCGCGGCGCCGCGAGGCGUCGAGGAAAGUCGGGGCUCCACAGGGCACGCUAGCGGGCAACACCCGUCCGCCGUGAGGCGAGGACCAGCGCCACAGUGACGAUGCCGCCGCGAGGCGGAGUGAAACGCGGCAAGCUCUAGCGGGAGCAAGAUCGAAUAGGGGGACCAUGGCGUGGCCCGCGCCGUCCCCGGGUCGAUCGCACGAGCCGGAGGGUGACCUUCGGCCGAGAGAGAUGACCGUCACCCCGCAAGGGGGACAGGACCCCGCUUAUGGACCCGCUCGGCGU